rnacentral:lncRNA from 1 species
CAAUAGAGGGUUUCAUUCAACUGGAGUGAAGAGAAUGGGGGGAGGGCAUGGGCAUGAUGAACCGUAUUACCUCCAUGCUAAACAUAUGUACAACUUGGAUAGGAUGAAAAAUCAGAAGCUGACAAUGUCUCUUGGAGUUUUGACAGCCUUCAGCAUUGGUGUGUUUGUUCCUAUCUAUGCUGUCAUUUUCCAGCAGAAAAAGACUGCAUCUGGUUGAUUUUUAUUUUUUAUGCUUGCCUUCAUGGCAUGGUCUGGCUGCCUGCAAUAAUGGAAGCAACUGCCUUUGUGAAUUGUUAUCUUCGGCUUUUUGAACUGAUGCAGUUGGAUGAUUAUGAUGAUACUUGCAGGAUUUUAGGAUUUCUUUUGACAAACACCUGUUGGUAAUUAUGGGAAUUGAUUAUUUGAUAAUAAUAAAAACAUUAUAUUUGGAUUUGCAUGGGAAGGUAAGGUAAUGUAAUUUCUUUUGUCUAUACCACAAUAUUGAAGUUAUCCCAAGCGAAAUUUCUACUCAUUUUUUAAAAGGAAAAGUAAGCAAUGUGAUUUUGAUGUUGUGGAGGGUAAAUCCAUCGUCUGCAAAAUGAAAUGAAAUAGUGUUCUGGCCAGUACGGGUGGUACCGAAACGAUACCAGCUACCUAGGUGAAAACACCAAAGUCUAAACUUACUUGGACAGUAGAGGAGAAGCUACCAAUGUUAAUUCACAAGCAUUGAAUGCAAUAUUCUUUGCUGUGGAUGGACAAGAAUUCAAAAGGAUAUCCAAUUCUACUGCCACUAAGUAGAAUUAGGAUAUUCUCGAGAUUGCCUAUGAUGGUACAAAUACUGUAAAGUAAUCCAAGAUGCAAAUGUUGACAACCAAGUUUAAGGACUUCGGUAUGCAAGAAAAUGAAACUAUUGGUGAACUCUAAGUAAAGUUGUGUGACCUAUCCAAUCAAGCAUUUGCCCUAGAAAAUGAGUACUCGAGCCUUGAAAAUGAGUACUCGAACCACAAGCUAGUGAGGAAGGUGCCUAGAUCUUUGCCUGAGAGAUUAGCGAUAAAAGUCACUGUUAUUGAUAAUAUGAGAAUAGAUAAGCUUAUUGGAUCUCUAUAGACUAUCAAGGUCAAAUUGGAUCUCUAUAGACUUUCAAGGUCAAAUUGGAUAAGUAAAGAAGUAGAUCUAAAGGCGAUAAGAGCAUUGCCUUACAAGUGACAAGAGCAGUUCCAACUGAAGGUAUCACUAUUAUCAAAGAAUUGUAAGAGUAGAUAGCAUUGCUGACUCAAAAUUUUUACAAGGCUUUUAAAAAGCAAUCCAGUAAGAACAAGAAGUUUGAGGCUAUCAGGAACUUUCCCAAAAACAAAAACAAAGAUGUGGUAAAGAAUCUACCAAGGAGUAGAAGAAGGGCAUUCAAUGUGAUGAUUCUAGCCAUAUAUAAGCUGAGUGUACUAACUGUAUAAAGAAGAAGAAAUCCCUAUGUGUUACCUAGAGAAAUGAGGAUUCUUCAAGUGCCUCGUAUUUAGAUAAUAAUCAUGUGAGUAAUUAUGUAGCCUUCACUACAAAAAUCAAUACCCUUGUCUCAACUGACUCUAAUACAGAUGAUGAUUCGAUUUGAGAAUCUAGUGUUAAGUUUCUGUAAACUUACAAGAUACUGUUGGAGAAAUAAGAGCAAGUGUGCGAUGUCAAUGCCAAGUUGGAGGAGGAGAACUCUUGUCUAAAGGAAGGAAACCAAAAGCUGAUCAAGCAAAUGGAGGUAAAAAGCUCUCUUCUAGAUGAUAAAAAUGCUAGCCUUGAGGCUAUUUAAAAGGGUCUUACAUCAACUCAAUUGAUGCUCGAAAAGUUCAAUACAGGUAGUGAGAAAUUGAAUGAAAUCCUUGUAGCCGAAAGAACAAGCCUUGGGAAAAGAGGUCUAGGAUAUAUUAAGAAGAAGGGAAAGGCUAAGGCUUGGAGUCCAACAAUCUUUGUCAAAGCCACAAACAACACUAGUUGUGGUGAAUGUUCAAAUAGGUCUGUUUUAAUACAUGUUAAAAACAAGGUGAAUUCCAAGCACAUGAUUAUUCGUAAUUAUUGUGGAUGCCCAAGCACAUUAGGCAAAUAUGCUUUAAGAUGUUACAUAAUUUGAGAUGAAAGCAAGCAGUGGCAGGACUAGUGCCAACUGCUCCAACAUUGCUUGGGGUUAGAGGUGAUUUUGUCUCAGUUGUUAUCAUUCUGCAUAUUGCAACAAGUUUGGUUGCUAGAGUGUACUUAGGAAUUCUCAUUACUAAACACCAUUCCAUUGAAAGGUUUGUCAAUAAUGUUACAUUUUCUAGUGUUAUUGUAACUUUGUCACAUAGGAAAUGACACCUAUAGGUUUUGGGUCUUCAUUACUCAAACAAAGCAUAAACGAAUGUUAAAAUAAAAAUAAAAUUCUCAAUUUGACUAAUAUGAUAGAAACCAAUAUCUCUUAAGUUCGAAUUUGUUUUUGUUGUUAGGCCAUUAUAUUUUUGCAUUAUUGUGACACUCGUCCACUAAAGAUUCUUCUGAUCUCAAUAAGAAAGUAGUCACUAUGAUAUGUUUCAAAAUCCAAAUAUAAAAAAAAAUUGAGUUUAUUUUUUGGUGAGAAAAUAAAUAAAUGAGAUGUUUUUAUAGGUGUUGCGCGGAAGCGUGUGAAAGAGUAAAAUUAUUGUACUGAAAAAUCACACUAAGUUCAAUUCUCAGGAAAGAAAGGUAGAUCACGAAGAUCACUUAAAUACCAAGUCUUUCCUAGCCAGAAUAUCCCUCUAUCGUAAUUUAAUAGCACAAUAAAUCACUACAAUCACAUUCACAAAAUAUGCAAAACAAAUAAUAAAGAACACCAGAAUUUUAACGAGGUUCAGCAAAUUUUGCCUACGUCCUCGGGCACUACCAAAUAUAUUUCACUCCAAAAAUUACAAGUGAAAUUUACAAAUAGAGAGAGAGAAUAAUGCCUUAAGUAGAGAAUGGCAAUUAUGGGAUGAAGAAAGUAAGCAAUGGUUAGGCCUAUUUAUAGUUGAGGUUCAAGGAUCAACUUGCAAUGUCCCUAUACAAUUAGGGACCAAAAUUGCAAUUAUCCCAUGCCAACUUUUAACCCAACUUGCCAACCAAUAUUACUUUCUACUUUCGGUGCCCACCCCAUUUGACUUUUCAAACAAUGGGUGGGUUCCAAUAAUCUCCACCUUGAAGAUUUGAUUAGGAUAAUCUUAUCUUCACACAAUUCUUUCUGCCUUUGACAACAAUACUUGAUAGUGCCUUCUUCAACUGUUAAACUUGCAGGAUAUUAAUCAAGUUCAAACAAUGUUCGAACUUGGUUGAUGUUACCACCUUGGUCAUCAUAUCUGCGGGAUUAUCUGCAGUCUUGAUCUUCUGAAGACAAAUUUUCCCCUCUUCAAUAAUUUCCCGCACAAAAUGGAAUCGUACGUCGAUAUGUUUUGUACGUGCAUGAUAGACUUGAUUCUUUGCUAAAUGAAUAGCACUUUGACUAUCACAAUACACGUUAAUAUGCUCCUGAACCAACCUCAAGGUUUUAGCCAUACCUUGUAACCAAAUAGCCUCCUUUACAGCCUCUGUUACAGCCAUGUACUCGGCUUCUGUGGUUGAUAAUGCAACUGUAGACUGUAGUGUAGACUUCCAACUUAUUGGUCCUCCAGCAAGUGUAAACACAUAACCGGUGGUUGAUCUUCGCUUGUCCAAAUCACCGGCAUAGUCAGAAUCAACGUACCCAAUAACACCUUUACCAAGUGUAUUAUCCUGCUUGAACAGUAAUCCAACAUCCACGGUCUUCUGAAUAUACCGUAGAAUCCAUUUCACAGCUUGCCAAUGUCCUUUUCCAGGAUUAUGCAUAUACCUGCUCACUAUACUAACUGCCUGUGAAAUGUCGGGUCUUGUACACACCAUUGCAUACAUCAAGCUACCCACUGCAUUAGAAUACGGAACUUGCAACAUGUAUUCUCGUUCCGUAUUCAUCGAAGGAGAUAGUUGUGCAGAAAGCUUGAAAUGAGAAGCCAACGGGGUACUUACAGGUUUUGUCUGCUCGUUCAUGCCAAACUGUUGUAGUACCUUUUUCAAAUACUGCUUCUGAGACAAGCUAACUCUAUCAUGAGCUCUAUCUCUCCAUAUUUCCAUGCCGAGAAUCUUUUUAGCUUCUCCUAGAUCUUUCAUCUCAAACUCGAGAUUGAGUUGAGUCUUCAAUCUUUCAAUCUCAACUUUGCUCUUAGAUGCUAUUAGCAUAUCAUCAACAUAUAAGAACAAGUAUAUGAAAGUUCCUUCUUGUAGCUUCUGAAAAUACACGCAAUGAUCAAAUUUACUUCUUGUGUACCUUUGCCCUUUCAUGAACUGAUCAAAUCGCUUGUACCACUGCCUCGGAGAUUGCUUCAAUCCAUAAAGUGACUUUGUCAGUUUGCAAACCCAAUUUUCUUUUCCAGCAACCUUGAAUCCAUCUGGCUGAGUCAUAUAGAUUUCCUCUUCCAAAUCACCGUGUAAAAACACGGUCUUCACAUCAAGCUGAACUAGUUCAAGAUCAUAUUGCGCAACCAAGGCUAGCAAAAUCCGAAUAGACGAAUGCUUCACAACUGGAGAAAACACUUCAUUGUAGUCUAUUCCUUCUUUCUGAGCGUAACCCUUUGCUACUAAUCUAGCCUUGUAUCGAAUUUCAUUUUUAUCAGGAAAUCCUUCCUUCUUUGCAUAUACCCAUUUGCAUCCAAUUACCUUCUUUCCCUUUGGUAGUGUCACCAACUCCCAGGUCUUAUUUUUAUGAAGAGACUGCAUUUCUUCAUUCAUUGCUUGCUUCCACUUUACACCAUCAGGGUUACUUAUUACUUCUGUGUAAGUAGAAGGAACAUCAUCAUCUGUAAUUGGAAGUGCAUAGGCCACUAUAUCAUCAAAGCGAGCAGGCUUACGAAUCUCUCUUCUUGGCCUUCUAUAUGCAAUUGAAUCUUGUUGCUGUAGAGGUUCUUGGGUAGGAACCUCUUCAUCAUUUGUCCCUUCAAUAUUAGCUGGAUCAUCGUUAACCUUUUCAAGCUCCACCUGCUGCAAAGUACUACUGGUUUUGUCAUCCUUUUGUGAAUCCUUGUACUUCAACAUGGUUGAUUCAUCAAAAGUCACAUCUCUACUGAAAACAAUCUUCCUUGUAUCAGGACACCAGAGACGAUAUCCUUUUACUCCAUCAGUUAUACCCAAUAAUAAUACUUUCUUUGCUCUUGGGUCUAACUUAGAUUCUUUUACAUGAUAAUAUGCAGUGGAACCAAAUACAUGUAAAGAAUCAUAAUCAGUAGCAGAUUUACCAGUCCACAUCUCCAUAGGAGUUUUUCCAUUUAUUGCAGCUGAUGGCAAACGGUUAAUUAGAUGGCACGCAUAUGUAACUGCCUCAGCCCAAAAUUCUUUGCCCAAUCCAGCAUUGGAUAACAUACAUCGAACUUUCUCCAGUAUAGUUCGAUUCAUUCGUUCUGCCACCCCAUUUUGCUGUGGUGUAUCCCGAACAGUGAAGUGUCGCACAAUGCCCUCAUCUUGGCAUACUUGUAGAAAUGGAUCGUUUUUGUACUCAGUACCAUUAUCUGAUCGAAGUCGUUUGACCUUUCGACCAGUCUGAGUCUCCACCAUCUUCUUCCAUUUCAGAAAUGCAUCCAAAACUUCACUUUUUCUUUUCAUUAGAUACACCCAUACUUUUCUUGAAUAAUCAUCAACAAAAGUAACAAAAUAGUGCAUACCUCCCAAAGAAGCUACUUUGGUAGGUCCCCACACAUCACUGUGAACGUAGUCCAGAAUUUCUUUCGUAUUGUGAAUUGCUAGACCAAAUUUUACCUUCUUCUGCUUGCCUAGAACACAAUGUUCACAGAAUUCCAUUUUGCAAGAAUUUGCACCUUUCAAUAAGCCUUGCUUCACCAAUGUCUGCAAAGCUUUUUCACCAGCAUGUCCCAAUCGCAUAUGCCAUAAUCUGGUAGCCUCUGAAUCUACAUCUUUUGUAGAAACUGUUGAUGUUGAUCCAAUAACUGUACUUCCAUUUAAAAAAUACAAGUUAUUUCUUCUUGUGCCUUUCAUCACCGUCAGUUGCCCAGCUACUACUUUUAGUAAUCCAUCUCUCAAAGUGAUUGUGAGCCCUUUAGAUUCUAGGACACCUAAUGAGAUGAGAUUUUUCUUCAGGCUAGGUACGUAGUGAACAUCUGUCAAGACUUGGAUUGAGCCGUCGUGAUUCUUCAAUUGGACUGUACCCACUCCCAUUGUCUUACAAGCACUAUCAUUGCCCAUAAGAACAAUUCCACCUUCUAGCUCUUUAAGACUAGAAAACCAGUCCUUAUUAGGACACAUAUGGUAAGUACAUCCUGAAUCCAAAAUCCACUCAUCCGUUUGACAUGCCAUUGCCAUGCCAACCAAGCUAAAGUCUGACUCCUCAUCAUGCUCCGCUACACAUGCAUUAGAAAUAGCCUUGCCCUUUUGUAGCUUAGGACAAUUCUUUUUCCAAUGCCCUUUUUCACGGCAAAAGGCACAUUCAUCUUUGGCGGGUCUCCCUUUGGACUUUUCCCUUCUACCAGAUUUGCUGCUGUGUGAACGACCUCUUACUGUUAAGACUUCUGCGGUUGUAUCUUUGUGAUCUCUUUUAUCUUUCUUUCGAGUCUCAGAUCUAUACAACGCACUACAGACUGCAUCAAAUGUGAUCGUGUCCUUCCCAUGAAGCAAUGUGGUGGUAAGAUGAUCAUAUUCAUCAGGAAGGGAAUUCAACAACAAUAAUGCCUGGUCUUCAUCUUCAAAUUUCUCAUCCAAAUUUAGCAAGUCUGCUAAAAUUUUAUUGAAUGAGUUCACAUGGUCAUUCAUCGACAUACCGGGUGCAUACGUGAAUCGAUAAAGUUUCUUUUUCAUAUAAAGCCUAUUUUCAAGACUUUUCGUUAGAAACUUUUCUUCCAGUGUAUCCCAUAACUUCUUCGCUGAUGUCUCCCUCAUGACAGAGUACUUCUGCUCUUUGGCCAAACAUAGGCGGAUUGUACCACAUGCCUGUCUAUUGAUCUUGGCCCACUCCUUGUCAUCCAUCUGCUCAGGUUUUUCUUCAAGGGCUAUAUCUAACUCUUGCUGACAUAAGACAUCCAGGAUCUUACAUUGCCACAUACCAAAAUUAUUGGUACCGUCAAAUUUCUCUACUUCAAAUUUUGCAUUUGUCACAGUAGUCCUUGCUGAUGACGAUGCUGCUGCCAUUUUUCUCCUCAAUCCCAACUACUGUAUACGUGAACAGUACCGUAUACGUGAAUAGUGCCGUAUACAUGAAUAGUACCGUAUACGUGAAUAGUACCGUAAACGGUCGUAUUCCCCAAGUACGAACCUGGCUCUGGUACCAAUUGUUGCGCGGAAGCGUGUGAAAGAGUAAAAUUAUUGUACUGAAAAAUCACACUAAGUUCAAUUCCCAGGAAAGAGAGGUAGAUCACGAAGAUCACUUAAAUACCAAGUCUUUCCUAGCCAGAAUAUCCCUCUAUCGUAAUUUAAUAGCACAAUAAAUCACUACAAUCACAUUCACAAAAUAUGCAAAACAAAUAAUAAAGAACACCAGAAUUUUAACGAGGUUCAGCAAAUUUUGCCUACGUCCUCGGGCACUACCAAAUAUAUUUCACUCCAAAAAUUACAAGUGAAAUUUACAAAUAGAGAGAGAGAAUAAUGCCUUAAGUAGAGAAUGUCAAUUAUGGGAUGAAGAAAGUAAGCAAUGGUUAGGCCUAUUUAUAGUUGAGGUUCAAGGAUCAACUUGCAAUGUCCCUAUACAAUUAGGGACCAAAAUUGCAAUUAUCCCAUGCCAACUUUUAACCCAACUUGCCAACCAAUAUUACUUUCUACUUUCGGUGCCCACCCCAUUUGACUUUUCAAACAAUGGGUGGGUUCCAAUAAUAGGUUUUCGAGUUAAGGGGUUUUGAUAAGACUUUGACACCCAUAGGUGGUAAGGUCAAUUUAAAUUUUCAAUAUUUUAUCACUUGCAAAAAAAUCAUUUACAAAUUAGGAUUUAUAUUUUUAAAUAUUUUAUUAUAAUCUCGACACCUAUGGAUAUUAAAGUUGGUUUAAAUAAUAUCCGCAAUCGUUACAAAAUAUAUGGAUGGUUACAAUUUAUAGUUUUAAAAUUUUUACAAAGCCCUUUACACCUAUGGAUGUUGAAGUCCUACUAACCAUUACCCUGAUUCCAAUUAGGCUAGGAAAACAUGGUGGUGCAAGACAUAUAACGCAAUUUAACUUUUUCGUAAACAUAUGUUAGUAAUUUUAAAGCAUUAUUGAAAUAAAAAAAAAAAACUAAUUAUAACAUAUAUAUUUUCUAAAACUGAAUUAUUAUGAUGAAUUAUACAAAUAUAAGAGGAAUUGAGGCACAAUACAAUAAGAAGAUACAGAAGUUCUCUAAACUAGAUUAGUAUGACAAAUAUUGGUGAAUUCAAAGGAGGCAAGGGCCCUUAAACUACGUAGGUUGUAAUGGUGCGAUUCAUUUUUCGUUCUCUAAGGAAAUUAAAAAAAUCAUUUUAGAUUUUAGAUUUUUUAGUAUAAUAUUUUUAGUUUUGGGUCUCGAUAAUUUUUAUUUUUAUUUUGACUUUAAAAUUUUUUUUUUCUCAUUUCACCAUUAAUGACAAAACUAUGAAAGCUGCACAACCCAUACUCCACACAAAUUAUUCACACUCCCCCCAGAUAAUACAAUAUAACUCAUCCAUUCCACAAAAUAACCUACAUUUCCAUCAAAGCAAAGAUAAAGUUUUUUUUUUUUUUUUUAAUAUUGAACAUAAAAAAAGAGCACAAUUUACCUUUGAUAAGUGUUGCAACAAUACAAUUCACUGGCAAAACAAGAGCAAAGAAACUUUAGAUUUAUUAUAGAGUCAUAGUAAAAUAUAUAUUAAUCCGACUCAAAAAACUAACAUGUAUCAACAAGAUUCAAACCCAAUUGAAUCCUUCAUAAUUUCCUUGAACUUAAGCUUCCUUGAUAAACUAAGUGAAACUAGAUUAUGCAAUUCUUUUGUGAGCUGUAGUUAAAAUCAUUUUUCUUCCGAUUCACCUUUUCAUUCUCAAUUAGAAAUUACUCUUCAAAAUAGAGAUUAAUUCAAACCAAAACUAAAAAACAUAUAGUUUGAUACGAAGAUGAGACAAUGAGAAAAAAAACUAUCAACUAUAAUUUAUAGGGUUAUAUAAGGGUGAUCAAUAAUAUGAUCCAAACUCGCCGAUUGAUAUGCAUACAUUAUAUACAGGGGCGAAGUUAAGGGUUAGUAGGGGCUCCGACUCUUUUUAAAAUGGAAAAUUUUCUAUUUGUGCUUUUUUAUAAUCGAUGAAAUUUAAAUUAGUAAUGGUAAAAUUACACUUUGACCCCUUAAAAAUGAUAAAAAUUGAUUUAAUCCUUUAAAAAUUAUAAAGAUAUAAACUAUUAAAAAUGAUGAAAUUACAUUUUUACUAUAUAACAAAUAUACAAUUUAUUUCCAGCCCCCUCCAAUUUUUUUUGGCAAAAUCCGAUUUGAUUCAAAAAAUUCGAUAAAAAAUUUAAAAUUUUAAUUAAAUUGUUUGAGUUAUUCGAUUUGCUCAGAUAAACUCGAAUAAAAAAAUAAAAUUGUUGGUUUAACUCGAAUAUGAAUUACACAAUUUAAAUUAUCUAAAAAUUCGAAUAAGAAAAGAUAAAACUAUGUCGUUUUGAUAAAUGUUUACCUUUCCUAAAGUUAAAAGUCAAAACCAUUAAAUUAAAAAGUAAUGCUACUUCGUUUUGAUAAAUAUUUAUCCAUUAAGUUAAAAGAAAAUUUAUUAUAUUAUUUCCGUACUUAAUAAUCUUGUACUUCGUCAACUAAUUAAAUAAUUAAUCUAUAUAAACAUAAGCGUAAAUAAUUCCAUUCCUUAAACUUUAUUAGACUUAAGAGUUUAAAGCCCAGUCCACUCAACCCAAAGCUGUGAAUUAUAGAUUCUUUAUAGACAGUCGGCCGGCAGCCUUCGGUAGUAGAAUUGGAAGAAAAAGAAGCCACCGCUUUGUGGAAACAGUAGCCGUCGAUCGAGUUUUUUUUUUUCGGGUGGAAAAAGAAAAGCCAUGGCAUUGAACGGUGGUCUUAGAUCGGCUUCGAAGUUUCUGACUUCGUCCUCUCAAUCUCUUAUCCACAAGUCAGGUCAGUGACCCAUUAGCGAUUUUUUUUUCUUGUAUUUACCUUUUGUUUGGUAGCCGAGGAAAUGCGGAAAGGAAUGGAAGAUGAGCAUCUGGGUGCUUGGAUUUCGUUUUUUUAUUAGCUGAAAUCGAGUUUUCAUAACUGUUUAUGUAGAUCUGCGUAAUUGGUAUUGUAAUUGUUUUUCCUUUUUUUUCGUCCGUUGCUGAUUUAUGUUUGUGGGUUCUUGAUUGGAUUAAAAUAUCAUAUGAUUUUGACCUGACAAAUUUUCACUAUAUAUAGAUUCGCCCUUAUGCUUUUCAGGGAUUAAGGAUUGGGUAGUUUGAUUAACUUUUGAAUAACAUUUAACGAAUAAAUGAAUUUUUUUGUUACGAGGGUAAAAGUUCUAUAAUUGUAUAUAAGCACUCUUUCUGAAAAGAAAAACCUAAGGGAGUUAUUGAAUAGGUUGACAUCGAUUAUGAAUUGCGUUGUGGUCAUAGUAUGCUGAUUUCUACCGAUCUUUAAUCAGCAUUUGCUUAUGCAUUUUGUUUCAAGAACUUCUACGACUGCUAUAUGAUUUUUGUAUUAAUUGCAAUGACUUAUUUUAUGUGGAACGCAAUUCCGAUGUGAAUAACGUUGUUGACUUGACGUUUUCAUGGUUACAUCUCUAGUAAACUGAAUUUGAAUUUGUUUUUGGUUUGUAAUCCUAAUGGAUUGUGUGGUUUAGAGAGGAGUCCUCCAUUCGAUGUUACUAUAUAAACUCCAGCCACUACCAUAGUGCCCUAGCCUAUGUUUACAUUUGAAAUUGGCUGAUUUUGCAAUUAGAUGGCUACGAGGAAGUUUCUAUUAUUUUUACAUGCUGAGAUUUUGUUUAAAUGAUAGAAAAGUUCUUUCUAUGUUUUCGAGUAUAUGAGAUGCUUUCUUAUUUUGUGUUUGUUUGACCUUUGUCUCUUGUGUUUUUAUGUGCUCUACCUAUGAAAGUUAACUUCCUUCGUUUUUCGGCAAACUCAUUGAUCUAAUUAUGGUGACCACAGGCUAUUUUCAGCACUCUGGUUGAAUAUUUUGUGUUUCUUCCUUAGCAAUAGAAAUGUAGAACAUACUUGUACAUGAUAUUUGUUUGGACUCUAUGAUAUUUACAUGCUUUACCCUUUUCCAAUUUGUUUUAAGUGUUUCAUAUUUAGACUCAAUAACAUAUAUUCUCAUAAAUAGAAAUUUCAGGCUGUUUUUGCUUGAUAUAGCUUUUACAAUAGGCUUAUUGGAAGAAGUGUAUGGAUGGCCUAAUACCAUUUUAGGGUAACUUGGAAAUAGUUUUUUGUAUCUACUCACACGUCUUGAAGUAUAUUGGUCUUGUAAUUUAAAAUCGUGUUCUUUUAUCCUCGUUUUUUCCUUGAUGGGGAUUUAGGUGUGCUAUACAUUUACAAACAUUUGUAGUAGUAUGUGCACGUUAAAUAUGUUGGUGAGGGUUUAUAGGAGCAACAAUUAAAGUGGCAUUUUUCAAAAAAAAAAGAUGACAAUGAAGUGAACGAAAGAUCGAGUAGAUGACUGGAUAAGCCAUGUUCACUAAUUAUUUAGGUGUUUUAGGCUUUCUUUUAGCGUACUUGUUCCUAAUUGGAAGGAGAACGAGGUAUUUCCCUUUGAUCAUUGUAUUCUGCCAACCUGAACGAUCCACUAAUUUUUCCCAUUGUAAAUUGUUAACUUAGUUUACCUCUCCCAAAUGCUCUGGCUUUGACAGUGAUGCAGAAUAAACUGCCAGGACUUGUGGGUGGAAGGUCUUCCGAUUAGGAGUGGAACAUGAUUCCGUUGAUUCUGGAGUAUAUUUUGGGUUUGAAUGAGAAUUUUAAAAGAUUUUAUACUUGGAUGAUAAUAUUGCAAAUUGGUUAUGGGUAUAAGUUGUGUUUAUUUUUGCUUGUUGGCAUAUUCCAGAAGCCUCAAAUAUUGAAAGGAACUUUUUUAGGGAUUUAGCCUUUGUGCUUUUGGGUAAUUAUAUGUCUAAAACUAAAAAAUGAAGAGCUAUAUCUGUUGUGCUUGUGGCAGGCAAUAGAGGGUUUCAUUCAACUGGAGUGAAGAGGAUGGGAGGAGGGCAUGGGCAUGAUGAACCAUAUUACCUCCAUGCUAAGCAUAUGUACAACUUGGAUAGGAUGAAAAAUCAGAAGCUGACAAUGUCGCUUGGAGUUUUGACAGCCUUCAGCAUUGGCGUGUUUGUUCCCAUCUAUGCUGUCAUUUUCCAGCAGAAAAAGACUGCAUCUGGUUGAUU